AAUUUUGGACAAUGUGGGAAACCCUGAUCCAGCCAUCCCGCGUGUAUGAUGAAGGCCUUCGGGUUGUACAGUACUUUUGGCAGAGAAGAAAAGGUAUCUCCUAAUACGAGCUACGGCUGACGGUAUCUGCAACAUAAGACCCGGCUCACUACGGGCCAGACGCCGCGGUAAUACGUAGGGUGCAAGUGUUAAUCGGAGUUACUGGGCGUAAAGCGUUUGUAGGCGGUUCGGAAAGAAAGAUGUGAAAGCCCAGGGCUCAACCUUGGAACUGCAUUUUUAACUGCCGAGCUAGGGUAUGUCGGAGGGGGGUAGAAUUCCACGUGUAGCAGUGAAAUGCGUAGAUAUGUGGAGGAAUACCGAUGGCGAAGGCAGCCCCCUGGGAUAAUACUGGCGCUCAGACACGAAAGCGUGGGGAGCAAACA
rnacentral:rRNA from 1 species